rnacentral:tRNA from 1 species
GCCUGGGUGGCUCAGUCGGUUGAGCGUCCAACUUCAGCUCAGAUCAUGAUCUUACGGUCCGUGAGUUCGAGCCCCACGUCAGGCU